rnacentral:lncRNA from 1 species
GUGAACCAAGGAUUUGUUUAGAAAUUAAUAUAAUGUCUUUAAAAAAAAACCGAUCAAAACGUUUUAAAACAUUACUCGCGGGUAACGUCGCACAAGGCAAUCCUGACGUUCAGAGGGGAAUAUGAAUAUGAUACUAAGAAGGGAAUAUUAUACAUUUAUUUCCCGUGCCUGAGGGAGAUAUAAAGAUUUGUUCACCCAAGAAUAUUCAUAUUUCACGAGGGCUCUGCCCGAGGGAAAUAUGAUUUUUCGAGGACGAUCAAAUCUUCAUAUCUGCCGAGGCCAAAGGAAAUGAAUGUUUUAUUCCACUGUCUAAGCUUUGUAUGCUAUCUAAACUUCAAAUAUUAGUUUGCAUACCGGCAUAUUUUCUUAUCCGCUUGUUUUUAUUACUAAACACGAC